CAUGAAACAUAAAGAAUGGUACUUUCUAGGAGACCUUCAUUACAUGUAAUAAUUCGUUCUAGGUCUGUUCAAGUUGAAAGCAGUCAAAAUAGAUUAUUUUUCAAGCUGUUAGUUCAAAUUAAGAAUCACUCCUAGAAUAAUACUGAACUAUGUCUUGAUCUAUAAUAAUUCUUUACAUUUUCUCAUGGGGUCAUGGAGCCAUAGAAAUGAUGGCUCAUAUGACACAAGAAUUAACUCAGAUGAGAAAUUUAAACUUAUGAUAUGAAGAAGGCUGGAAUGAGAGUAAGAAUUACAUACCUGAACAUAGGAAAGCUAUUCUUCCUGGGCACAUCUGCCUACCAUCUUUUUUUUUUCCAGUACUGGAACUUGAACUCAAGUCCUCAUGUUCUUGGUUGGUUUCCUCUUGAGCCUCUCCUCCAUUUCAGUCUCU